rnacentral:rRNA from 1 species
AUCUAUAAGCAUAUAACUAACUCAGCCCAAGAAGAGGGUUUN